ACACUUCAAAAUAGUUGCCAAAGUUUAAAAUGGUAAACUAAAAAUUGCUUUGUUUAUAGACAAGAUGCAUUAUAAGUUUUAAAGAAUGUUUUUGAUUUAGGUGGGUUGAGACAAAGAUUUCCAUGUUAGAUUAAAAUGGGUAUAAUUGUUGACUUGAAAAUGCAUUCUACUGCAAGAGGUAUUAAAAAGUAUCGAGGUCAAGGUCGAUACCAAGGUAUUUAUAGCUCAAGGUAAAUAUAUCGAGUUAAGUUUGUAGGAAACGUUCAUAUUCUUUGGUUAUCUUGAGAGCAAUUUUUCUGUACGAAACAGCAUGGACUCCACGUUUGUUUACUGACUCCUAGGUUGAGAAUCAGCUCUUUUUUCAAACGCCGUUUUAAUGAUUUCUUUCAUACCGGAAAGAUGUAGUUCUAUCACAAAUAAAUCUGUUAUAUAACUGUAUUAUCAACAUAAACAUUUGAAUUUGAUCAACAAGAUACAAAGUCAUUGAAGUAAAUAACAAUUAGUAAAAACUUCAAUAUUAAUCUAUGAGGUACACCACAUAAAAUUUUUCUUAUUUCAGAUAUUGUGCUUUGAAAACCAAUGGUUUAAGAUCUAUUAAAUAGUUAAUCUUUAAACCAGCAGAGGCUCUUAUUAACAAUACCAUUUCAGUGAUAAUUGAAAUGGUGUAGUUGAAAUGGUGCUAGUGUAAUUAGAUUCUAGUUGUUGGGAUGACAAAUCUCAGAUUAAGAUGAUAGUGUUUCAAAUGUUUUACAUUCAACAUAUUGAUAACAUCAACAGCAAUAACAAAAACAACGACAACAAAAACAUUACUAAUAUUUCUUUCGCGCAGGAAGAAAUAAUUGCGACUCUAAGUGAUGAAAUAUUCUCAACAACUCUGAUACUAAAUUAUUGACUUCACCAGUUGAUAAAAAGUUUGUAACAAUUUCUCCAUAGUGCAGCGAUGGAACUUUGAUUAGAUUGACCUUGGUCUUAAGAGCAGUUUUUCUAUGCCAAACAGCAUGGUCAGUUUUUCUAUGCCAAACAGCAUGGUUUCUCCAUGGUGCACGAAUGGAACUUUGAUUAGAUUGACCUUGAUUUUGUAAACAGUUAGAAUCAAGUGUGAUCACAUUUUACAUUCUACCAAAUCUCAGGAUAAUUUGAAGAGCGUAUCUACAUGAGUUGAUUCAAGUUGUUGUGUUAAUCUCGUGUUUAAAACGCUGCUAAUUGUUUCACCUGUUCUAUGGACCCGUCUUUAAAAAGUUACUACUGGUAUACUUACUGAUGUAGCAUCAUCAUUUAGUGAAAAAUUACCUCUUUUUACUAUUGCUACAGUAAGAAACUUCCUAUUCAGUGUAUUAUUUUUCUUUAUUUUUUCCGGGAAAGUUUUUUGAAGCACACUUUAUAUUAACAGAAAACAAUCGAUUUUAAUCUA